UACGUAGGGGGCUAGCGUUGUCCGGAUUUAUUGGGCGUAAAGAGCGUGUAGGCGGUCCGGUAAGUCCGCUGUGAAAGUCGGGGGCUCAACCCUCGAAUGCCGGUGGAUACUGUCGGGCUAGAGUGCGGAAGAGGCGAGUGGAAUUCCUGGUGUAGCGGUGAAAUGCGCAGAUAUCAGGAGGAACACCUAUUGCGAAGGCAGCUCGCUGGGACGUUACUGACGCUGAGACGCGAAAGCGUGGGGAGCAAACAGG
rnacentral:rRNA from 1 species